rnacentral:rRNA from 1 species
UACAGAGGGUGCAAGCGUUGUUCGGAAUCAUUGGGCGUAAAGGGCAGGUAGGUGGUUUAGUAAGUCGACUGUGAAAUCCCUGGGCUCAACCCAGGAACUGCGGUUGAUACUACUGAACUAGAGUGCUAGAGGGGUUCGUGGAAUACUCGGUGUAGCGGUGAAAUGCGUAGAUAUCGAGUGGAAUAUCAGAGGCGAAGGCGACGAACUGGAUAGUAACUGACACUCAACUGCGAAAGCGUGGGUAGCGAACAGG